rnacentral:rRNA from 1 species
ACUGCCUGCCCAGUGACAUCUGUUCAACGGCCGCGGUAUUAUGACCGUGCAAAGGUAGCGUAAUCACUUGUCUUUUAAAUAAAGACCGGUAUGAAUGGCAAAACGAAAACUCAACUGUCUCCUCAGACAAGUCAGUGAAAUUGAUUUCCCCGUGAAGAAGCAGGGAUAAUAAUAUAAGACGAGAAGACCCUAUGGAGCUUUAAACCAAAACUACCCACACUCUUUAAACUUUAAAAAGUGGAAUUAGCUACAGGUUUUGGGUUGGGGCGACCGCGGAGUAAAAAUUAACCUCCGAGAAAAAAUUAAGAAGGACACUUCAAAAAUAAUAAUAUUAACACAUUUGACCCAACAAUUGAUCAACGAACCAAGUUACCCUAGGGAUAACAGCGCAAUCCUUUCAGAGAGUCCUUAUCGACGAGAGGGUUUACGACCUCGAUGUUGGAUCAGGACCCCCAAAUGGUGCAAAAGCUAUUAAAGG